UGCUUGCACCUGAUUGACGAUGGAUCACCAGUGAGUGGCGGACGGGUGAGUAACACGUAGGUAACCUGCCCCGGAGCGGGGGAUAACAUUUGGAAACAGAUGCUAAUACCGCAUAACAACAAAAGCCACAUGGCUUUUGUUUGAAAGAUGGCUUUGGCUAUCACUCUGGGAUGGACCUGCGGUGCAUUAGCUAGUUGGUAAGGUAACGGCUUACCAAGGCGAUGAUGCAUAGCCGAGUUGAGAGACUGAUCGGCCACAAUGGAACUGAGACACGGUCCAUACUCCUACGGGAGGCAGCAGUAGGGAAUCUUCCACAAUGGGCGCAAGCCUGAUGGAGCAACACCGCGUGAGUGAAGAAGGGUUUCGGCUCGUAAAGCUCUGUUGUUGGAGAAGAACGUGCGUGAGAGUAACUGUUCACGCAGUGACGGUAUCCAACCAGAGAGUCACGGCUAACUACGUGCCAGCAGCCGCGGUAAUACGUAGGUGGCAAGCGUUAUCCGGAUUUAUUGGGCGUAAAGCGAGCGCAGGCGGUUGCUUAAGUCUGAUGUGAAAGCCUUCGGCUUAACCGAAGAAGUGCAUCGGAAACCGGGCGACUUGAGUGCAGAAUAGGACAGUGGAACUCCAUGUGUAGCGGUGGAAUGCGUAGAUAUAUGGAAGAACACCAGUGGCGAAGGCGGCUGUCUGGUCUGCAACUGACGC
rnacentral:rRNA from 1 species